rnacentral:rRNA from 1 species
AAUAGAUACCCGGGUAGUCCACGCCGUAAACGAUGAGUGCUAAGUGUUAGAGGGUUUCCGCCCUUUAGUGCUGCAGCUAACGCAUUAAGCACUCCGCCUGGGGAGUACGGCCGCAAGGCUGAAACUCAAAGGAAUUGACGGGGGCCCGCACAAGCGGUGGAGCAUGUGGUUUAAUUCGAAGCAACGCGAAGAACCUUACCAGGUCUUGACAUCCUCUGCCAACCCUAGAGAUAGGGCGUUCCCCUUCGGGGGACAGAGUGACAGGUGGUGCAUGGUUGUCGUCAGCUCGUGUCGUGAGAUGUUGGGUUAAGUCCCGCAACGAGCGCAACCCUUGAUCUUAGUUGCCAGCAUUCAGUUGGGCACUCUAAGGUGACUGCCGGUGACAAACCGGAGGAAGGUGGGGAUGACGUCAAAUCAUCAUGCCCCUUAUGACCUGGGCUACACACGUGCUACAAUGGAUGGUACAAAGAGCUGCGAACCCGCGAGGGUAANCGAAUCUCAUAAAGCCAUUCUCGAGUUCGGAUUGUAGG